rnacentral:lncRNA from 1 species
GUGAGCCCUCGGCCUUUGCGCCCCCCGCAAACCGGGCGGCGGAGGCGGGGUCCUGUGCUUUUCCAGUGCACCCUCAGCGUUACCACAGUCUUCGCUUAGCUGAGUGCAGUUAUCCACAAUACAAACACUGAAAUAAAAGUUCCGUGUCACACAGGAGAAUCAUGACAAAGUCAAGUAAUUAAAUCUGCAUCUCACCAAGUUUAUUGCCAUACUGGCUCUUCUCCAAGAGGCUAUCUGCAAAUGUAAAGAAGUAGAACCAGCCGGUGGUUAUCAUCACGUCAUUUUACUUAAGGCACUGGUAAUGAGCAGCAGGAGUCAGAUUUCUUGAUUGCUAAUUUUUAUUGCUAGCAACAAGGUCCCUCUCAGCUGGGAGCACAAGAAGGACACUGAGCAGUUCUUUGUUACAUCUUAUAAGCUGAGGUAAAUUGUUACAUAUUCGAUACUUUAUUUACCCAACCAAUAAAAGCUAUCCAUGCCUCUUAGUUCUACCA